rnacentral:miRNA from 1 species
CAACAACAUUAAACCACCCGA